ensembl:lncRNA
GUUCACCUCACAAGACCGGGGACAACCACGGCUACCAGCAUGAACGACGGCGCUUCAGACCUUUGUAGCGAGGACCCGAUGCCAGGUCCAGUGGACAGACUUCAGACGUCUCUGUGAGGCCGGGUGGACGAAGGCAUGCAGCUGAGUACAAUCCAGAAAACAACAGAGGAGGAGUGCAGCAGCCCAGGACCAGAACAAACAGAGUAGCAUCGUAUGUCUCUUAGAAAACAUCAUAGUAUAGCCUUUGCUAUGAAAAAACGCCAUCAUAUACAUCGUAUAUUGUACAAAUAACAAGUCAAGGAAAGAG